rnacentral:antisense_RNA from 1 species
GAUCAGCCCUGGGGUUCAGAGGGAUCCUGACGGCUACUCCUCAAGAUCCUCUCUGUUGUGAUUCAUCCCCCCCGGGCCCUACAGUUUCUCCUUCCUGACUCUUACAUUUCUUUGGAUGGCAUCAUUAUUGCUGGAGUGCAGUGAUGUGAUCUCGGCUCACUGCAACCCCUGCUUCCUGGAUUCAAGCAAUUUUCCUGCCUCACCCUCCCAAGUAGCUGGGAUUACAGUACCUGUCUCCUCCCAUAGUUAGGUGCCAAGCACUGUGGAUUCUGCCCCUCAGUGUCCAGACACCCAUUUUCCUUCCCACUGUUCCUUCCCCAUGGAGAAGCCUGUGGCUGGCUGACAGCAGAGAGAGAUGCUCAACUUGGAGAAGGUGUUACCUGGGCCAGGUGGGGAAGGUUUGUUUGCAGAGCAAAGAAGUGAAGCCUAUUCAACGUGAAAAAGAUGAGGAUGAAGACCUUUAUUAUGAUCCACUUCCAAGUAAUGAACACACUGGAGAAAGUCAGACAGUCAAAACAAUGUCCCAGACUCCGUGAAGUUCCUGGGUAGAGAAGGAGACAGACAUAUACCAUACCUAAUAAUUGGAUGUCCGAGAGAAUGAGAGAAUGGCAGAAAGAACUUUAGAGCAUGGGUAUGAUGGCUAGAGCUUGAGCAGCCAUUGUGGACAUCAGAUGAACUUGAAAGUGAAAACUAUGAGCUGAAUACGACAAAGCAAACAGAUAGAAAACUGGAUUCAUUAUGAC